GGGAAUAGCUCAAUGGCUAGAGCAUCAGCCUUCCAAGCUGAGGGUCGCGAGUUCGAGUCUCGUUUCCC
rnacentral:tRNA from 1 species